UACGAAGGGGGGCUAGCGUUGCUCGGAAUCACUGGGCGUAAAGCGCACGUAGGCGGAUUGUUAAGUCAGGGGUGAAAUCCUGGAGCUCAACUCCAGAACUGCCUUUGAUACUGGCGAUCUUGAGACCGGAAGAGGUAAGUGGAACUGCGAGUGUAGAGGUGAAAUUCGUAGAUAUUCGCAAGAACACCAGUGGCGAAGGCGGCUUACUGGUCCGGUUCUGACGCUGAGGCGCGAAAGCGUGGGGAGCAAACAGG
rnacentral:rRNA from 1 species